GAUGAACGCUGGCGGCGUGCCUAAUACAUGCAAGUCGAGCGAACGGACGAGAAGCUUGCUUCUCUGAUGUUAGCGGCGGACGGGUGAGUAACACGUGGAUAACCUACCUAUAAGACUGGGAUAACUUCGGGAAACCGGAGCUAAUACCGGAUAAUAUUUUGAACCGCAUGGUUCAAAAGUGAAAGACGGUCUUGCUGUCACUUAUAGAUGGAUCCGCGCUGCAUUAGCUAGUUGGUAAGGUAACGGCUUACCAAGGCAACGAUGCAUAGCCGACCUGAGAGAGUGAUAGGCCACACUGGAACUGAGACACGGUCCAGACUACUACGGGAGGCAGCAGUAGCGAAUCGGACGCAAUAGGCGAAAACAUGACGGAGCAACGCCGCGUGAGUGAUAGAGGUCUUCGGAUCGUAAAACUCUGUUAUUAGGGAUGAACAUAUGUGUAAGUAACUGAGCACAUCUUGACGGUACCUAAUCAGAAAGCAACGGCUAACUACGUG
rnacentral:rRNA from 1 species